AUGGAACCAAAGGAGAAGGAAAAAUCGAUACCUUCAACGCGGUAUAGAGAGCGGAAAAAGAACCAACCCCACGAGCAGCCGCCGCCCCCCACGCCUCCACGCGGCCGAUGCGAAAACGAAGACGGCGGCAACAAGACCCCGACGACAGGAGCAGCUCACCCUCCGGAGAGAACAUCACACGCAGCAGCCAACAAGAACAGCGCCGCCGCCCUCCACCGCGAACGAAAGAAAAGGGCAAGACCCCCCAGCCGCCACCGCCUAUGCUAUCGCGAGAGACAACGCUACACCAGAAGAAACCAGCGACACAGAGUAAAAAGGCCACGCACGCCCCAGUCAAAAGCCCAUUUACAAACCGACCAUAGGCUAAACUGGGCCCACGUACCGCCUAAACCAGCCCCGAUCAACCAGAGGCUCCCAUUUCGUGGGAGCUUAGUAUCUGUACCGAUAUAUGCUUUUGGUGCAAGCGCAACAUUUUUUUCCGUGCAAAACAAAGCUCUCCAAGACAUAGGGAUAAACCAGGUGAACACCGUAAAAGGAGAAAGGUCCAUCUAA
rnacentral:rRNA from 1 species